GCAGAAUGAAAUUUAGUUCACUCACACUCAUUCAUUCAUUAUAAUUACCAACCUGUAGAGGAACACAUUUCUCUGCUAUAAGUCACUAAUCACUGAUAUAAAUUUCUGAAAAAGUGUGCUCAUCCCAUAUCCAUACAGUAAAGGAAAUUCCAAUGGGUCAUAUCAUUCCUACGGUCAGGGAAGAGGUAGGAGUGGAUUGACGAACAUUUUACGGUUAGCAUUACAAUUGCAGUACGGAGAUUGAUAAAGACUGCUAUAUUAGUUUUAAAUACCUGUAUUUUAGAAACAUUUAAACUUUUUUCAUACUGAAUCUGGGCAUUAUGUUCCUUCAGGGGCCUUACUAAUAUCUAUAAUCAAGGUAUCUGACCAUUUUUCUUUAUUUUUGUCACACCUGCUGUAUUUGAGAAACACUGCAUUUUUGCUUUAUACUAUAAUUUUUGACCCUGUGUGAAAUUUUGCAAGACAAAGGACACUGCCUAAAAUGUUAUAUUUCCC